rnacentral:rRNA from 1 species
AGUGAACGCUGGCGGUAGGCCUAACACAUGCAAGUCGAACGGCAGCACAGUAAGAGCUUGCUCUUACGGGUGGCGAGUGGCGGACGGGUGAGGAAUACAUCGGAAUCUACUUUUUCGUGGGGGAUAACGUAGGGAAACUUACGCUAAUACCGCAUACGACCUACGGGUGAAAGCAGGGGAUCUUCGGACCUUGCGCGAUUGAAUGAGCCGAUGUCGGAUUAGCUAGUUGGCGGGGUAAAGGCCCACCAAGGCGACGAUCCGUAGCUGGUCUGAGAGGAUGAUCAGCCAUACUGGAACUGAGACACGGUCCAGACUCCUACGGGAGGCAGCAGUGGGGAAUAUUGGACAAUGGGCGCAAGCCUGAUCCAGCCAUACCGCGUGGGUGAAGAAGGCCUUCGGGUUGUAAAGCCCUUUUGUUGGGAAAGAAAAGCAGCAGGUUAAUACCCCGCUGUUCUGACGGUACCCAGAGAAUAAGCACCGGCUAACUUCGUG